AGCCAUGAUCUCCUAGGCUCUGGCAAUGGCUGUACCUGUAAGAGUCUAGGAAGAAGCAUGCUGGCACUCAGUCGGAGCUGAUAGCUUGUCCAAUGAAAGGAACAAAAUCCUGGCUCCUUGGCUAUUUAGGGACUGAUCCUCUGUGGAGCUAAACGUCCUGAAUUUGCACUGUCUCUAUGGGAGUUGAGGGUGCAGUAUCCGAUGCACAUAGAUACGGCACACUGGGGCAUAGAGGCGGUUCAUUUUUUACUGUGACCUGGCUGGAGGGCCGAGCCACUGAAGACCCAUCAACCAAGGUCAACAACCUACAGGGGGUGCCAAGACGGAGAAAAGGUCUGCAGUACAGCAUGCAGCAGGUGCUCAAGAGGCAAUAUUUUCUACUCCUCCCUGCAAUGGGGUUGAAAGGAUGGAUGCAGUAAAUAUGCCAGAUUGGUCCCACCAGAUGUGGAAACGGAUGCCCAGCCUUCCUCAGUUCCCCCAGCAAAGAAGAAUUCCUUCAUGUGUUCUCCUGAAGUAUAAAGACCAGCAAGAAUAGGAAACCUGAAGGCGUGUGUUAAUCUCCCGGUCAAGUACGGUACACGCGGCCGCAGUGAAAGCUUCUGCUUGCUGCCCUAGAAAUAACCCCAACCUUCCCCUGGUAAGAUUACCCUCGGCGGGGUCAGAAGCUUAGUUCUCAUUUUCAUUUUAAGCUUGUGGUUUUUAACCCCUGUUCUGAAUUGGCCUACUUGGAUUUGUUGAUCUUUUAAAGUGGAUGGGUGUUUAUUGGAUAGAGAGUGGAGAAGAGAAGCCCAGAAAUGAGACCAAAGGUUUAUUUGCUCAACACUGUUGCUCCUUCAUCUCACCUUAUUGUUUUCGUGGCUUAACAGCUAACAGUCAUUGCCCGCCAUGCAAGGGCCCCAAGCAGUGUCAGGAUUUUAGUUUAAGCAGCUUUGCGAGGACAAAGCACUCAUGGUAAUUCCUCCUGGAAACAGAAGUGUCACUCCUCCAUCUACCCACUGUGAAGUGUCAUGGACUUGAUUCCUUGGUCUGUAU